UACGAAGGGGGCUAGCGUUGUUCGGAAUUACUGGGCGUAAAGCGCGCGCAGGCGGUUUUUCAAGUCAGUGGUGAAAGCCCGGAGCUCAACUCCGGAACUGCCAUUGAAACUGUAAACUUGAGGAUGAGAGAGGUGAGUGGAAUUCCCAGUGUAGAGGUGAAAUUCGUAGAUAUUGGGAAGAACACCGGUGGCGAAGGCGGCUCACUGGCUCAUAUCUGACGCUCAGGCGCGACAGCGUGGGGAUCAAACAGG
rnacentral:rRNA from 1 species